GUUGAGUUCAUCUUCAACAAUCUACCAACUGAUUCAUCUUCUUUGAAAUCAAAUGAGCAGAGAAGUUAUCAAACGGUUUCAAUGGCGGAACAAGCCUACUUCUAUCUGGCUAUGGCGAUCCAACCACACAGCUUCCGUUAUCGAGUUUCCUGCUACCGAACCUUCAGCAUUUUCAGACCACCAAUUGCUGGUCCAAUCUCUGGAAGAAUGCAAAUUAUCAAGAAAUUCAACAGCUGUUAUCGCAACACACUCAAGAAUCAUUAAACUCGGGUACGAAACAUGCCCAUCUCUUACAUCACUGCUGGUCACAGCAUACAUUUCUUUCAAUCAUCUCAAUUUUGCACGUCAGUUACUUAACGAAGUUCCUUACUGGAAGUUCAAUUUAGUUUCUUCCAAUUCAAUCAUCGCAAGUCUUAUGAAAGCAGGAGAUGUUAAUAUCGCCAAGAAGAUGUUCGCUAAAAUGCCCAAACGAGAUCUAAUAACCUGGAACUCAAUGAUAUCAGGUUUUGUUAGAAAUGCACGUUAUGAUGAGGCGUUUAGGUUCUUCAGAAAGAUGUUAAAUUCAAAUAUGGAGCCCGAUAAAUUUACAUUUUCAUCCAUUAUCACUUCAUGUGGUCGUGUCGGCGCUCUGGAUCAAGCUAAGUGUAUACACGGUUUACUAACCGAAAAAAGAAUUGAACUUAAUUUUAUUCUAAGUUCCGCACUCAUAGACAUGUACUCAAAAUGCGGAAGAAUCGAAACUGCAAAAUCGAUUUUCGAAAACGUUAGACACGAUGAUGUUUCCGUUUGGAAUGCCAUGAUUAACGGGCUAGCAAUGCACGGUCUUGCUACAGACGCGAUCGCAACGUUUUCAAAAAUGGAAGAUGAAAACUGUUUACCCGAUUCAAUCACUUUCGUCGGAAUCUUAACCGCAUGUAGUCAUUGCGGUUUGACUCAACAAGGCCGUGAGUAUUUUAACUUAAUGAGAACGAAAUACGCGAUCAAGCCACAGCUUGAGCAUUACGGGUCAAUGGUUGACCUCUUCGGUCGGGCCGGGCUUCUAGAAGAAGCUUACAAAGUAAUUGAAACAAUGCCGAUGGACCCUGAUGUUGUUAUAUGGAGAGCAUUUCUUAGCGCGUGUAGAACACAUAAAAACCCGAGUUUGGGAGAAGUUGCAGUUUCGAAAAUAUCACAUCUUGCUAGUGGAGAUUACGUGUUACUGUCUAAUACUUAUUGUUCCGUAAAUAAAUGGGAUAACGCCGAAAACGUAAGGCAUAUGAUGAGACAAAAACGUGUUAACAAAAGUAGAGGGAAAAGUUGGAUUGAAUUCGGUGGAGUGAUACACCAGUUUAAAUCAGGAGAUGUAUCGCAUUCUGAAACCGAAUCGAUUUACAAGAUUCUUGAGGGGUUAACGGGUCGGGUUAGAGAGGAAGGUUUUAUACGUGUUACGGAACUGGUUUUAAUGGAUAUAUCUGAAGAGGAAAAAGAGGGAAAUCUGAAUUAUCAUAGUGAAAAGUUGGCAGUGGCGUAUGGCAUACUAAAAUUGAGCCCCGGAUCUGAAAUUCGGGUUUCGAAGAAUCUGAGGACGUGUAUUGACUGUCACUCGUGGAUGAAAUUGGUUUCUAAAGUGUUGAAAAGAGUAAUCAUUGUGAGGGACCGGACCCGGUUUCAUCGGAUUGAAGAUGGUUUGUGUAGUUGUGGAGAUUACUGGUAGCUUAUUGAUUAAAGGUGAUAACAUCAACCCAUUUAUUUAUUAAUUUAUGAUUGGGUUGUGUUUUAUCUCCAAUGGGAAAAACCCAAAAAAUUAACAUAAAAGGAACGGGUCAAACGGGUUGAACAAGCUAAGUUUUCUGAUGUCUAUUUUAAUCCAUACACCCCCUAGAUCGUUUAGUCAUAGGUUCAGAAGUAUUUUGUUGUAACACCAUUUUAAUUUAAAUUGUUUGUUAAUAUUAAAGUUGUUCCUUAUUUAUCUCAAGAUAUCAGAUACAUGUACUUCUGUUCCGCUUAUUAGGUGGAUUUAUUAUUGGUACAAGAAAUGGUAUUAUUAUCUGCUGGAUUUUUGCUACUAUGUCAACACCAUCUUCUUGAUCAUGCUUUUGUUUUAUCCUAGAAACGGAAAGCUUUUCAUGGUUUGCUUUUUCGUUUGCAGAGGUAAGUAUAUCUUGAUUUGAUUUGCGUUUUUUUUUUUCAGUGAAUAAUCCAUUUAUCAUCAUAUCUAACGAACCAUUUAUAUAAGAGUGAAUUUCAAGAAUUGUUCUUUAUCUUUAUACCCAUUUUCAGACGUUGUCCUUUAUGUUUAAAAUUGACGAGUUUUGUAUUUUAUGUUUUCAAAUCAUACACGUUUUGUCCUUUAAGCCAAACUCAGUUAAUUUUUUCUGUUAAAUCUGAUCAUUUUUGUCGAUUCAUAUUUACAUGGAUUAAUUGUGUAGAUAAUAUAAAUAACAAACCCUUUUAAAAAAUAAAAAAAAAUACUUUAAAAAAAAGGCCCAUCUUCAUCAAACACCACCACCAACAACUCCGGCCACUGCUAACUCCGGCCACCGCCAACUCUGGCCACCACCAACUGGCAAUUCCGGCUUUCUCUCCAACGCCGUGUUCUGAUCGACUGCGUUUGAUAUUGCUUUCGAUAUGUUGUUUAUGUAACGAAAUUUGUGAAUAGUAUUGGUAUAUUUUAUUAACUUGUAAUCGUAUGAUAUCGGGUCGGGUUAGAUGAGAUGGAUGUUGUAUGAUAGCAUGUAGUCUGUAGAUUAAAAGACAAUUGGCAGUUUAAUAUAUACUAUCAAAAAAAGCCUCUAAGCUCUUCGAUCUACACAUCCCUUUUAUAAAAUAAUCAGCAGACAUCGAAAGAAGUCGUUGACCAACUCAAUGACUAAAAUUAUGUGUUGUUUUGCUGGUUUAUAGGAAAACACUUGUCAUUAAUUUAAAGCUGUUUCUUAACUUUUAAAAUACAUCAUGCCUGUAUAUUAGUUUAAAGCUGUUUCCAGUCCAGACCCUAAACAGAGUAUUCAAAAUCAAGAACACAACUCUGUUUUUGCACCGAAAAAUAGGACAAAUUGAGACCCAUUUUAGUGUUUGAUGAUUGUUUGUAUACAAUUCCACUAUUAAUCUACACGUACAUGAUUCAUGUCUGCUGAUUUCAAUAGCCAAUUAGCCAUGUACCUACCCAAAUGGUUGUAGCUCUAUUUCAAACUAGAAGAAAAACCCACCACCGGACCACCACAAAACACCCGUACACCACCACAUCACCCCCGUCGGACAACCACCACCAUUUAACCACAAUCCACCCCUGCCCCUUCGUUUGAAACCGGCCACCACCACCGACUUGAUUUCCGUUAGAGUCGAUUAAACUCACCAAGUUACCUUGAUCUGAUUUCUGGCCGGAGAAGACAAUCGCAAGCUACAAUCUUUGUAUUUUGGCCGGAGUUGGCGGUGGCCGGUGUUAGCAGUGGCUGGAGUUAGUGGUGGCAGGUGUUGGUAGUGGUGUUUGAUGGAGAAGGUGUGCCUUUUUUUAAAGUCUUUUUUUAUUUUUUAAAAAGGUUGGUUGUUUAAAUUAUCUACACAAUUAGUUCCUGUAAAUAUGAAUUGACAAAAAUGCCCUCAUCACAUGAUCAGAUUUAACAGAAAAAAUUAACUGAGUUUGGCUUAAAGGACAAAACGUGCAUGAUUUGAAAACAUAACGUACAAAACUCGUCAAUUUUGAACAUAAAGGACAGCGUCUGAAAAUAAGUAUAAAGAUAAAGGACAAUUAUUGAAAUUCACUCUUUAUAUAAAUAGACAAUUGAGUGCUAUGCAUCCUAUAUAUAAGCUUUUAAACCCAUACAUGAGAUAUUUAAAAUCAACCAGACCCUAUAAGAUAAAUGAAAGCAAAGUAUAGAUACAUCAAUUAUUAAUUGACCAUUUUCAGUCUUCACUCUUAUUUCUUGUUAUAUAUAUAUAUAUAUAUAUAUAUAGAUGUAUACAUGAGUUUCAAACACAUACAUUGUUACAUAUAUAAUUUAUUCGAGCACUACAUAUUUAAUUUAUUCUGAGCACUGAUGGAAUAAUAAGACUAGCAGUUAAAUAGGGGCGAAGGCGAAAGACAACGGGUCAUUGCUGAGUGCCAAAUGCUGCCAACCAUCUUUGUCUUGAACUAUUCCCACACCCAUACAUCUAACAUUGCAGAACACAAGCUUAUAACCGUCGUUAGUUUUCUCAAUAUUAAACCAGUUCAUCAAUGUUUCCGGCCCUGGGUUCCCUUCUACACCUCCUACCAUCACAACAUACUGCUCCAUACCUAUAUCAUAAUUCAACCUCCAUACAUUUGACACAUUACAACUGUUGGAGCCUGAGAACUUUAUGUUAACAUCUGUGUAAAGACGGAUCACGCCUUUCUUGGGGUUGACCGGAGUGAAAGUCAACGGGAGACCCUCCUCUUGGUUAUAGAUUGCUACUACAUCAGGUGAACAAGGCUUUUUCCCGUGCUCCAUCACAUAGAGUCCGCCAUCUGAUCUACCGUUUAAUAGCCUAGCUAUGUAUUCGGCCCCUGUGCGGAGGUGUUUUCCAUGGAUAUCGAGCACCGAAGCAGGAGUAGGAGCUGAAUUGGCUGCCAAGAUGAUGAAUGAAAGGGAGAUUAUUAUUAAGAUGAUUGUGUUCAUCUUUAGAAGUGUUGAUGAAUGAUGUAGAUUAAAAGCUAUUUAUAGAUGGCUGCUAGUUUUAGAUAUAACAAGGAUGAUGUUGUUGGUUUAGAUUUCGAUAGUUUUAGACGCAAACUCGAACUAGUGAAUUUGGAUAUUGUUUUUGAA